rnacentral:rRNA from 1 species
AGUCAAGCUACAAAGGGCAUACGGUGGAUGCCUUGGCGCUAAGAGCCGAUGAAGGACGGGAUAAGCUCCGAAAAGCUGCGGGGAGUUGCAAGUAAGCUUUGAUCCGCAGAUGUCCGAAUGGGGGAACCCAGCAGUCGUAAUGGACUGUUACUCAAUACUAGAUAUUGAGAGGGAACCCGGGGAACUGAAACAUCUAAGUACCCGGAGGAAAAGUAAUCAAACGAGAUUCCCGAAGUAGCGGCGAGCGAACAGGGAAGAGCCCAAACCAAGAGAGCUUGCUCUUUUGGGGUUGCGGACCAGCAUCAACUUUGUCAGGCCUAGUUGAAUCAUCUGGAAAGAUGAACCACAGAAGGUAAAAGUCCUGUAGGCGAAAGGCAGAGCAAAGGGGCUGGGAUCCAGAGUACCACGAGACACGUGAAACCUUGUGGGAAGCAGGGGGGACCACCCUCCAAGGCAAAAUACUUCUUAGCGACCGAUAGCGCAUAGUACCGUGAGGGAAAGGUGAAAAGCACCCCGGGAGGGGAGUGAAAGAGAACCUGAAACCGUAUGUCUACAAGCAGUCGAAGAGCGUAUAUAUAUCAGCUCAACGGCGUGCCUAUUGAAGAAUGAACCGGCGAGUUACGGUAUCUAGCGAGGUUAAGCAGAAAAUGCGGAGCCGCAGCGAAAGCGAGUCUGAAUAGGGCGCAAGUUAGAUAUCGUAGACCCGAAACCACAGUGAUCUAUCCAUGACCAGGUUGAAGCGCAGGUAAAAUUGCGUGGAGGACCGAACCCGUGAGCGUUGAAAAGCUUUGGGAUGAGUUGUGGAUAGGGGUGAAAUGCCAAUCGAACGUGGAGAUAGCUGGUUCUCCCCGAAAUAGCUUUAGGGCUAGCCUCAAGAAGUAAGUAUAGACGGUAGAGCUCUGAUCGGGCUAGGGGCCGUAUAGGUUACUGAACCCUGUCAAACUGCGAAUGACUAUACUGGAAUCUUGGGAGUCAGACUGCGAGUGAUAAGACCCGUAGUCAAAAGGGAAACAGCCCAGACCAUCAGCUAAGGUCCCCAAUGCUGUGCUAAGUGGCAAAGGAUGUGAAACUUCACAAACAACCAGGAUGUUGGCUUAGAAGCAGCCACCAUUUAAAGAGUGCGUAAUAGCUCACUGGUCGAGAGGUUUUGCGCCGAAGAUGUCCGGGGCUAAAGCACAGAACCGAAGCUAUGGCUUGAUAUCUUUGGAUAUCAGGGGUAGGGGAGCGUUCUUACUGGGUCGAAGCAGUACCGUAAGGAGCUGUGGACUGGUAAGAAGUGAGAAUGCCGGUAUGAGUAGCGAAAAGAGAAGUGAGAAUCUUCUCCACCGAAAGCCUAAGGAUUCCUGAGGAAGGCUCGUCCGCUCAGGGUAAGUCGGGACCUAAGCCGAGGCGUAGAUGCGUAGGCGAUGGACAACAGGUUGAAAUUCCUGUACCGCCAAAGUUCGUUUGAGUGAAGGAGUGACACAGGAGGAAGGUUGAGCGCGAGGAUGGAAAUUCGCGUCUAAGCCGGUAGGGUGUAAGCGAGGCAAAUCCCGCUUACGAAAAGCCUGAGAGGUGAUGGGUAGUUUUUCCUUGGAAAGACGAAAUCAACUGGACCACACUGUCAAGAAAAGCUUCUAGCGAGAACUAAGGCGCCCGUACCGCAAACCGACACAGGUAGGCGGGAAGAGUAUUCUAAGGUGCGCGGGAAAACCCUUGUUAAGGAACUCGGCAAAAUGUCCCCGUAACUUCGGGAAAAGGGGAGCCCUAAUAUCGUGAAGGACAGAAACGUCCGGAGCGAGAGAGGGUUGCAAAAGAGAGGCCCAAGCGACUGUUUACCACAAACACAGGUGCCUGCUAAAGCGAAAGCUGACGUAUAGGUGCUGACACCUGCCCGGUGCUGGAAGGUUAAGAGGAGGGCUUAGGAGCAAUCCGAAGGUCUGAAUUGAAGCCCCAGUAAACGGCGGCCGUAACUAUAACGGUCCUAAGGUAGCGAAAUUCCUUGUCGGGUAAGUUCCGACCCGCACGAAAGGUGUAACGACUUGGGCACUGUCUCAACAAGGGACCCGGUGAAAUUGAAAUACCUGUGAAGAUGCAGGUUACCCGCGACUGGACAGAAAGACCCCAUGGAGCUUUACUGUAGCCUGACAUUGAGUUUUGGUCAAUCAUGUACAGGAUAGGUGGGAGGCUGAGAAAUUGGGACGCUAGUCUCGAUGGAGCCGCUGUUGGGAUACCACCCUUGAUUGACUGGAAUUCUAACUGAAGAAGUAACGACACUCAGGACAGUGUCAGGUGGGCAGUUUGACUGGGGCGGUCGCCUCCGAAAGAGUAACGGAGGCGCCCAAAGGUUCCCUCAGCGCGGUUAGAAAUCGCGCGAAGAGUGUAAAGGCAGAAGGGAGCUUGACUGCGAGUCAGACACGACGAGCAGGUACGAAAGUAGGGCUUAGUGAUCCGGUGGUACCGAGUGGAAGGGCCAUCGCUCAACGGAUAAAAGCUACCCUGGGGAUAACAGGCUAAUCUCUCCCAAGAGUCCAUAUCGACGGGGAGGUUUGGCACCUCGAUGUCGGCUCAUCACAUCCUGGGGCUGAAGUAGGUCCCAAGGGUUGGGCUGUUCGCCCAUUAAAGUGGUACGUGAGCUGGGUUCAGAACGUCGUGAGACAGUUCGGUCCCUAUCCAUCGCGGGCGCAAGAGACUUGAAGGGAGCUGCUCCUAGUACGAGAGGACCGGAGUGGACGAACCAAUGGUGUACCAAUUAUCCCGCCAGGGGUACAGUUGGGUAGCUACGUUCGGAACGGAUAAACGCUGAAAGCAUCUAAGCGUGAAACCAGCCUUAAGAUGAGGUCUCUCAUAGAGUAAUCUAGUAAGGCCCCAUGUAGAUGACAUGGUUGAUAGGCCAGGUGUGGAAGUCCAGUAAUGGAUGGAGCUGACUGGUACUAAUAGGCCGAGGGCUUGACUUA